GUUCCCAAGGGCUAGGAGGGCACCCGGCAUGCGGAGAAAAAGGCGAGCCCAUAACGUCCUAGGAUCAAGAUUAAAGGAUCUUUUUCUCUGCCCUUUUCUUCUCUUGGACCUUCAGGCACCCACUUGGAUCUCUUCCAGAUGUUCUUUCCUUUGUUACCUGUUCUAAAGCCUUUUAAAUUUCCACUCUUGCUCUGAAACUUGCCUCAGUCUCUUUUUUUCUGCUUUAUGCCUCUUGGACGAAUUUUUUUUUCUGAGGAGGGAAGAACUGAAGUUGCUGUGGACCUGUAUGGAUUAGCUGAUGGUUACUCGGGGUAAUUUGGAUCUCUUCCACCGAUAUCCCGUGACUAAGAAUGCUUAACCUUCUGGGAAUGCAGGCAGUAGGUGUCACUCAUUUUACCCAGCAGCUAUUCAAGAUGGAGUCACUCUUGUCUGAGCACCUCUGACAACAUGAACUAAAAAGCGAGGGAGACACUGACAGUGAGAUUGAAUGGCACUGCCACCACCAGAGGAAUAACUGGAAAAGGAAGCAGGAGGGCACUUGGGUACAAGGGAAAUGAUAAGAAAAGUAUAAAGCCACAGGAGCAGAAUGUUACCUCCUUUCUGUCCUCCUCUUUGUUCUUAUGGCCCAGUUGUCUUCCUCUUGACCCCGUCUUUGCAUUGCAUGGGAAAUAGUACAACUUUGAGUCAUCCCCACCUGGGCUAAGAUGUGAUAGCUGACAUUGACUAGAAGUACAACCUUGACUAUAUUAUGUAAUAUCUCUGAGCCCAUGAAUAAUGGGUAUGGUUGUCCCUGGAGUCUGGGAUAACUAGGACAAUGCCAGGCAUGUAGGUUCCAGCCAUAUAGACCAUUGAAUCUGAUGAAAGAUAUACCCCUACUGAAAUGCACUGAAUAUUUUUGAACACCUACCAUUUCUAAGAGGAUAUGAUUUGAAAGCCAGUAUAGGAAGAUUUGAUGCAAAUCUGAUUGUUGCAUGGGGCCUUGGAGAAUAUCCUGGAAAAGCAUAUACCUUUGAUCCUGGGUUAUGAUUUCAAUUAGAUUUUUCCUACUAUGUCAAAUGGUGAUAUAAAGUCAAAUAAAACAUUAUAACAU
rnacentral:lncRNA from 10 species